UGGGGAAUAUUGCGCAAUGGGCGAAAGCCUGACGCAGCAACGCCGCGUGAGGGAUGAAGGCCUUCGGGUUGUAAACCUCUUUCGAGCAGGGACGAUAAUGACGGUACCUGCAGAAGAAGCUCCGGCCAACUACGUGCCAGCAGCCGCGGUAAUACGUAGGGAGCGAGCGUUGUCCGGAUUCAUUGGGCGUAAAGAGCUCGUAGGCGGCUUGGUAAGUCGGAUGUGAAACCUCCAGGCUCAACCUGGAGUCGCCAUCCGAUACUGCCAUGGCUAGAGUCCGGUAGGGGCCCACGGAACUCCUGGUGUAGCGGUGAAAUGCGCAGAUAUCAGGAAGAACACCGGUGGCGAAGGCGGUGGGCUGGGCCGGCACUGACGCUGAGGAGCGAAAGCGUGGGGAGCGAACAGG
rnacentral:rRNA from 1 species